rnacentral:rRNA from 1 species
UGGCGGCAGGCCUAACACAUGCAAGUCGAGCGGUAACAGAAAGAAAGCUUGCUUUCUUUGCUGACGAGCGGCGGACGGGUGAGUAAUGCCUAGGGAUCUGCCCAGUCGAGGGGGAUAACAGUUGGAAACGACUGCUAAUACCGCAUACGCCCUACGGGGGAAAGGAGGGGACCUUCGGGCCUUUCGCGAUUGGAUGAACCUAGGUGGGAUUAGCUAGUUGGUGAGGUAAUGGCUCACCAAGGCGACGAUCCCUAGCUGUUCUGAGAGGAUGAUCAGCCACACUGGGACUGAGACACGGCCCAGACUCCUACGGGAGGCAGCAGUGGGGAAUAUUGCACAAUGGGGGAAACCCUGAUGCAGCCAUGCCGCGUGUGUGAAGAAGGCCUUCGGGUUGUAAAGCACUUUCAGUUGUGAGGAAAGGGUGUUGCUUAAUACGUAACAUCUGUGACGUUAGCAACAGAAGAAGG